GUGGGGAAUAUUCCGCAAUGGACGAAAGUCUGACGGAGCAACGCCGCGUGAGUGAUGAAGGUUUUCGGACUGUAAAGCUCUGUUGUUUAGGACGAAAGUGCCUGUUGCAAAUAGUUACAGGUAUUGACGGUACUGAACGAGGAAGCCACGGCUAACUACGUGCCAGCAGCCGCGGUAAUACGUAGGUGGCAAGCGUUGUCCGGAAUUAUUGGGCGUAAAGAGCAUGUAGGCGGGAAUCUAAGUCUGUUGUGAAAAUGCGGGGCUCAACCCCGUAUUGCGAUGGAAACUGGGUUUCGCGAGUGCAGGAGAGGAAAGGGGAAUUCCCAGUGUAGCGGUGAAAUGCGUAGAUAUUGGGAGGAACACCAGUGGCGAAGGCGCCUUUCUGGACUGUGUCUGACGCUGAGAUGCGAAAGCCAGGGUAGCGAACGGGAUUAGAAACCCUGGUAGUCC
rnacentral:rRNA from 1 species